rnacentral:rRNA from 1 species
CCUACGGGGGGCUGCAGUGGGGAAUAUUGGACAAUGGGCGAAAGCCUGAUCCAGCCAUGCCGCGUGAAUGAUGAAGGCCUUAGGGUUGUAAAGUUCUUUUGUCAGGGAAGAUGAUGACGGUACCUGAAGAAUAAGCACCGGCUAACUUCGUGCCAGCAGCCGCGGUAAUACGAAGGGUGCUAGCGUUGUUCGGAAUCACUGGGCGUAAAGCGCGCGUAGGUGGCUUUGCAAGUCAGAGGUGAAAUCCCCAGGCUCAACCUGGGAACUGCCUUUGA